rnacentral:rRNA from 1 species
AUGGAGGCAGCGGUUGCCAUGCAACGGCCACGACGCCACUCGAGCUGCGGUACAACAAGUUCGUCGGAGCUGCGUUGUAAAUGGACGUCACCGCCCGAGCUGCGAUAUAGCAAGGCCGCCGGAGCUGCGAUGCAGCAAGGCCGCCGGAGUUGCGAUGCAGCAGCAGCCGCCGCCGGAGCUGCGACGCAGCGGACGCGUCGCCGCCGGAGCUGCGAGGCCGCCGGAGCUACGAUGCAGCAGCCGCCGCCGCCGCCGGAGCUGCGAUGCAGCGUUCCUCGACGCCGCCGGAGCUGCAAUGCAGCUACCGUCGAAGCUGCGAUGCAGCGGUCCUCGACGCCGCCGGAGUUUCGGUGCAACGGUCCUCGAUGCCACCAGCGAAAUCCUAUGACGAACCUGUGUCGCAGACUCGCAGCACCAUGCGUGUUGCUAUGCAGCUCCACCGGCGGUGAGACCCGGGUCGCAGCACGACGGGCGUUCCAAACAGCACGCCAACAUGCACUGUAG